rnacentral:rRNA from 1 species
UACAGAGGUCCCAAGCGUUGUUCGGAUUUACUGGGCGUAAAGGGUGCGUAGGCGGUAGGGUAAGUCUGAUGUGAAAUCUCGGAGCUCAACUCCGAAACUGCAUUGGAUACUAUUCUGCUAGAGGUUGGGAGGGGGGACUGGAAUUCUCGGUGUAGCAGUGAAAUGCGUAGAUAUCGAGAGGAACACCAGUGGCGAAGGCGAGUCCCUGGACCAAUCCUGACGCUGAGGCACGAAAGCCAGGGGAGCAAACGGG